rnacentral:rRNA from 1 species
UACGUAGGGUGCGAGCGUUGUCCGGAAUUAUUGGGCGUAAAGGGCUCGUAGGCGGUUUGUCACGUCGGGAGUGAAAACUCGGGCUUAACCCCGAGCCUGCUUCCGAUACGGGCUGACUAGAGGUAUGCAGGGGAGAACGGAAUUCCUGGUGUAGCGGUGAAAUGCGCAGAUAUCAGGAGGAACACCGGUGGCGAAGGCGGUUCUCUGGGCAUUACCUGACGCUGAGGAGCGAAAGUGUGGGGAGCGAACAGG